rnacentral:rRNA from 1 species
AAGUGACUUCCAAGAGUAAUAGAAUGGUUUUGGGAAAGCCAGCCAGAGAGGGUGAAAGCCCCGUACAUGAAAUUCGAGGAAGCGCGGCAGGAUCCAGAGUACUACGAGACACGUGGAACCUUGUAGGAAGGAGCGGGGACCACCCCGUAAGGCUAAAUACUCCUUAGUGACCGAUAGCGCAUAGUACUGUGAAGGAAAGGUGAAAAGGACCCCGUGAGGGGAGUGAAAGAGAACCUGAAACCCUGUGUUUACAAGCUGUGGAAGAACGAGAAAUGUUCAACCGCGUACUUUUUGUAGAACGGUCCGGCGAGUUACGCUGGCAGGCGAGGUUAAGGACU